GUUGGAAAUUCUUUUUUCUUCGUAUCAUUUUCUUUCUCUUCAUUCGGGUUUUCGCGAUUUUUUUUCUUGUUCUCUCCGAAGAGGCGAAACGCCGAGAGAUUUCUUCGUCUCCGAUCCCGGUGUGUUCCGACCACUUCCGGUGAUCUCUUCUUCUCUUCGUCUCCUCGUGUCAACCGAUCUCGUCGUCUCCACUGUCUCCUCUGUCUCGCCUCUAUGAUUACAGGUGUUGCUUUAGGGCUUCCUCGUUACAGUACUUCUCUCAUUGACUAUGAUUUUUUGCAAAUUCGCCGUUACAUGCGAGACGUUAUCUUCGUCAAGUUAGAGAAGCAGAAUCCCUUUCCGUCUGAUGAUGAAUCAAAGGCCAAGUGUUUAGAUGUUGCUAAACGCUUAGAGGAGGGACUUUAUAUAAUGGCUAUCAUAGCCAGGCUAUGACAAAGGAGGAUUACUUGGACCUGUCAACUCUUGAAUCUCACUUGACAAACUUAGUAAAAGGCAGACAAUUGAAUAACUACGAUCAGCAAAAUGCUAAUUCUUCUUCGCUUGUAUCAACUACUAGCAGGAUAAUGAAUAGAACAUAGAUCAGUACGAGACAGAUAUUGCAAAGAAUCUGAAGUCGGUGGUGAGCCUUGGGAGCUGAAGAUUAUCAUUUAUGAGAAAGGUCUAUUCCUACUUGUUUGGAAACGUUUACAUGGCUGAUGUUACAAGGCAAGAGAUCAUAAUAUCAUAUAUUGCACAAUAUACUAUAAUAGCUGCCUGUUGCAGUGUUACUGUAUUAUUUGCUGCUUGUAAGUUGUAAGAUCUUACCAAUGGUAGUAAACACAGGUUAUAAAAAGAACACUUAGCUAGAACUAGUUUUGUGAAAUUAAAAACAGAGCAAAACUACAAGGGUGAAGAUUCAAAUUA